rnacentral:rRNA from 1 species
AUUGAACGCUGGCGGCAUGCCUUACACAUGCAAGUCGAACGACAGCACGGAGCUUGCUCUGGUGGCGAGUGGCGAACGGGUGAGUAAUAUAUCGGAACGUACCCUGGAGUGGGGGAUAACGUAGCGAAAGUUACGCUAAUACCGCAUACGAUCUAAGGAUGAAAGUGGGGGAUCGCAAGACCUCAUGCUCGUGGAGCGGCCGAUAUCUGAUUAGCUAGUUGGUAGGGUAAAAGCCUACCAAGGCAUCGAUCAGUAGCUGGUCUGAGAGGACGACCAGCCACACUGGAACUGAGACACGGUCCAGACUCCUACGGGAGGCAGCAGUGGGGAAUUUUGGACAAUGGGCGCAAGCCUGAUCCAGCAAUGCCGCGUGAGUGAAGAAGGCCUUCGGGUUGUAAAGCUCUUUUGUCAGGGAAGAAACGGUGAGAGCUAAUAUCUCUUGCUAAUGACGGUACCUGAAGAAUAAGCACCGGCUAACUACGUGCCAGCAGCCGCGGUAAUACGUAGGGUGCAAGCGUUAAUCGGAAUUACUGGGCGUAAAGCGUGCGCAGGCGGUUUUGUAAGUCUGAUGUGAAAUCCCCGGGCUCAACCUGGGAAUUGCAUUGGAGACUGCAAGGCUAGAAUCUGGCAGAGGGGGGUAGAAUUCCACGUGUAGCAGUGAAAUGCGUAGAUAUGUGGAGGAACACCGAUGGCGAAGGCAGCCCCCUGGGUCAAGAUUGACGCUCAUGCACGAAAGCGUGGGGAGCAAACAGGAUUAGAUACCCUGGUAGUCCACGCCCUAAACGAUGUCUACUAGUUGUCGGGUCUUAAUUGACUUGGUAACGCAGCUAACGCGUGAAGUAGACCGCCUGGGGAGUACGGUCGCAAGAUUAAAACUCAAAGGAAUUGACGGGGACCCGCACAAGCGGUGGAUGAUGUGGAUUAAUUCGAUGCAACGCGAAAAACCUUACCUACCCUUGACAUGGCUGGAAUCCCCGAGAGAUCGGGGAGUGCUCGAAAGAGAACCAGUACACAGGUGCUGCAUGGCUGUCGUCAGCUCGUGUCGUGAGAUGUUGGGUUAAGUCCCGCAACGAGCGCAACCCUUGUCAUUAGUUGCUACGAAAGGGCACUCUAAUGAGACUGCCGGUGACAAACCGGAGGAAGGUGGGGAUGACGUCAAGUCCUCAUGGCCCUUAUGGGUAGGGCUUCACACGUCAUACAAUGGUACAUACAGAGCGCCGCCAACCCGCGAGGGGGAGCUAAUCGCAGAAAGUGUAUCGUAGUCCGGAUUGUAGUCUGCAACUCGACUGCAUGAAGUUGGAAUCGCUAGUAAUCGCGGAUCAGCAUGUCGCGGUGAAUACGUUCCCGGGUCU